rnacentral:rRNA from 1 species
UACGUAGGGCGCAAGCGUUAUCCGGAAUUAUUGGGCGUAAAGAGCUCGUAGGCGGUUUGUCGCGUCUGCUGUGAAAACCUAAGGCUCAACCUUGGGCUUGCAGUGGGUACGGGCAGACUAGAGUGCGGUAGGGGGUGACUGGAAUUCCUGGUGUAGCGGUGGAAUGCGCAGAUAUCAGGAGGAACACCGAUGGCGAAGGCAGGUCACUGGGCCGCAACUGACGCUGAGAACGCGAAAAGCGUGGGGGAGCAAACAGG